rnacentral:rRNA from 1 species
AAUUGACCUCGGAUCAGGUAGGGAUACCCGCUGAACUUAAGCAUA